rnacentral:rRNA from 1 species
CUUCCGCCGGCGACCGGCGCACGGGUGAGUAACACGUAUGCAACCUGCCCCUGUCAGGGGGACAACCCGCCGAGAGGCGGGCUAAACCCGCGUACAUGCCACCGGGGCAUCCCGGAGGCAGGAAAGGCUUCGGCCGGACAGGGAUGGGCAUGCGGCGCAUUAGGCAGUAGGCGGGGUAACGGCCCACCUAACCGACGAUGCGUAGGGGUUCUGAGAGGAAGGUCCCCCACACUGGUACUGAGACACGGACCAGACUCCUACGGAAGGCAGCAG